UCAAUACAAAGCGGCAAAUAAAAAAAAAAAUAAGCGCACGUUUGAUUCGCUGUUUGUAGGGGAAAUAAUAAAAAUAUAACUAAAAAAGUUGGAAAUUUACAAUGAAGGAGCAGGGUUUGUAUUCACUUGGAUCGUCCGGAAUUCCUGUAAGGUUAAGCCAAACAACGAAUAAUCCAAGAGCUCAAAAAACACAUCCACUUCACUCAACACUAACAAUCGCUAUACCUUCGUUGAUUUGUUGUUUUAGUCCAAUAACAGUUGGGACAUUCUAUGCGUCGUUUCUACGAAUUUUAGUCAGAAGUGCGUUCUUGCAUACUGCCCUGCCGUGAAAUCCAUAUUCAACAUUGUAUUUGCCCUGAAUUUCAUGUGCAAUGUCGGUAAUAAAAGCGUGAUAAAACAAUAAAUUUAACAUUAAA